rnacentral:rRNA from 1 species
CCCGCACAAGCGGUGGAGCAUGUGGUUUAAUUCGACGCAACGCGAAGAACCUUACCUGGGCUUGACAUCCCGAUCGCACCUUAUGGAAACAUAGGGGUCAGUUUGGCUGGAUCGGUGACAGGUGCUGCAUGGCUGUCGUCAGCUCGUGUCGUGAGAUGUUGGGUUAAGUCCCGCAACGAGCGCAACCCUUGUCCUUAGUUGCCAGCAUUCAGUUGGGCACUCUAAGGAGACUGCCGGUGUCAAACCGGAGGAAGGUGGGAUGACGUCAAGUCCUCAUGGCCCUUAUGUCCAGGGCUACACACGUGCUACAAUGGCCGGUACAGAGUGACGCGAAGCCGCGAGGUGGAGCAAAUCGCAGAAAGCCGGCCUUAGUUCGGAUUGGAGUCUGAAACUCGACUCCAUGAAGGUGGAAUCGCUAGUAAUCGCGCAUCAGCAUGGCGCGGUGAAUACGUUCCCGGGCCUU